rnacentral:lncRNA from 1 species
GUAAUACCAAUUAUUUGCCUGGCCCACAUAUAAAAAUAAUGAACAAAAAAACCCAAAUAAAGAGUCCAUUUUCUUUUACAAGCCCAAUAUCAUUAACCAGCCCAAAACCCAGGCCCGAUUUUAGCAUGGUCCAAAGCAAACAUGCAGAAGCAGCAACCCUAGCCGCAACGCCUCCAGCGGACUCCAUGCGACGUACGUCUCGGAGCUGAUCCUCCCUACGCGCGCACGUACACCUGCAAACACGGACUCAAAAGAGUCCAAAAGAAAAGAAACAGUGAAAAAUAGCACUUGUAUUUGAUUUUUCAGGCUAUAUAAGGCCGACUUUUAUUCUGUAAAAGGGGGGAUUUGGAGUGUAAAAAAAUACGAAAAUAGAGAGAAAAUACUGAGAUUACAAAGGGUUUUUUCGAAGGUGAAUCGUGUUUAUUUUUUUCAUUUUUUAUUCUUUUUUAUUUUAUUUUUUAUUUAUUUUUAAUUUAAAAUAUAAAGAAUGGAGGAAGGACUUACUUCUCUCGCCAGAUUCGUCGAGUCGGCGCUAUCUCCGUCGCAAUCGGAACCUUGGCGCGAGGCUAAGCGGCGGCGUAUGAGGGUUUAGGAAACCCUAAAAGGGUCUGGUUUCUCCUCUGGAAAGGGAAACCCAAAAGAACAAAUAAAUGUUCUUUUGUUUAAUUUUCUUUUUUUCCUUUAAGACCUAAA